GGUUCCGUAAUGUAGUGGUUAUCACGUUCGCUUCACACGCGAAAGGUCACCGGUUCGAUCCCGGACGGAACCA